rnacentral:rRNA from 1 species
UCAUAUCCAAUUAGCGGAGGAAAAGAAACCAACAGGGAUUGCCCUAGUAACGGCGAGUGAAGCGGCAACAGCUCAAAUUUGAAAUCUGGCGUCUUUGGCGUCCGAGUUGUAAUUUGCAGAGGGCGCUUUGGCAUUGGCAGCGGUCCAAGUUCCUUGGAACAGGACGUCACAGAGGGUGAGAAUCCCGUACGUGGUCGCUAGCCUUUACCGUGUAAAGCCCCUUCGACGAGUCGAGUUGUUUGGGAAUGCAGCUCUAAAUGGGAGGUAAAUUUCUUCUAAAGCUAAAUACUGGCCAGAGACCGAUAGCGCACAAGUAGAGUGAUCGAAAGAUGAAAAGCACUUUGGAAAGAGAGUUAAAAAGCACGUGAAAUUGUUGAAAGGGAAGCGCUUGCAGCCAGACUUGCCUGUAGUUGCUCAUCCGGGUUUUUACCCGGUGCACUCUUCUAUAGGCAGGCCAGCAUCAGUUUGGGCGGUUGGAUAAAGGUCUCUGUCACGUACCUCCUCUCGGGGAGAACUUAUAGGGGAGACGUAAUGCAACCAGCCUGGACUGAGGUCCGCGCAUCUGCUAGGAUGCUGGCGUAAUGGCUGUAAGCGGCCCGUCUU